rnacentral:rRNA from 1 species
GACGAACGCUGGCGGCGUGCUUAACACAUGCAAGUCGAGCGAGGCCCCUCCUUCGGGAGGGUGUCCUAGCGGCGAACGGGUGAGUAACACGUGGGCAACCUGCCCUCAGCUCUGGGAUAACUCCUGGAAACCGGGGCUAAUACCGGAUACGACCUCCACGGCCAUCUGCUGAGGUGGAAAGUUUUUCGGCUGAGGAUGGGCGCGCGGCCUAUCAGCUAGUUGGUGGGGUAGUGGCCAACAAAGGCGACGACGGCUAGCCGGCCUGAGAGGGCGACCGGCCACACGGGGAAGGGGAAACGGCCAGGACUCCUACGGGAGGAAGAAGUGGGAAUAUUGCGCAAUGGGCGGAAGCCUGAAGCAGCGACGCCGCGUGCGGGACGAAGGCCUUCGGGUUGUAAACCUCUUUCAGCAGGGACGAAGCGAAAGUGACGGUACCUGCAGAAGAAGCACCGGCUAACUACGUG